rnacentral:rRNA from 1 species
GGGGGCUUGCUCCCGGGUUAGUGGCGAACGGGUGAGUAAUAUAUCGGAACAUAUCCGGAAGUGGGGGAUAACGUAGCGAAAGUUACGCUAAUACCGCAUAUGCCCUGAGGGGGAAAGGGGGGGAUCGCAAGACCUCUCGCUUUCGGAGUGGCCGAUACCGGAUUAGCUAGAUGGUGAGGUAAAGGCUCACCAUGGCGACGAUCCGUAGCUGGUCUGAGAGGACGACCAGCCACACUGGAACUGAGACACGGUCCAGACUCCUACGGGAGGCAGCAGUGGGGAAUUUUGGACAAUGGGCGAAAGCCUGAUCCAGCCAUACCGCGUGAGUGAAGAAGGCCUUCGGGUUGUAAAGCUCUUUCAGCCGGAAAGAAAUCGCACUUUUUAAUACGGAGUGUGGAUGACGGUACCGGAAGAAGAAGCACCGGCUAACUACGUGCCAGCAGCCGCGGUAAUACGUAGGGUGCGAGCGUUAAUCGGAAUUACUGGGCGUAAAGCGUGCGCAGGCGGUUUGAUAAGCCAGAUGUGAAAUCCCCGGGCUUAACCUGGGAACUGCAUUUGGAACUGUCAGACUAGAGUGUAGCAGAGGGGGGUAGAAUUCCACGUGUAGCAGUGAAAUGCGUAGAUAUGUGGAGGAAUACCAAUGGCGAAAGCAGCCCCCUGGGUUAACACUGACGCUCAUGCACGAGAGCGUGGGGAGCAAACAGGAUUAGAUACCCUGGUAGUCCACGCCCUAACGAUGUCAACUAGUUGUUGGGGGA